rnacentral:lncRNA from 1 species
UAUUUUAAUCCAUCCGUUUAAAAAAUAUAACACAUGUCCCAUGUUUUUGCUCUUGUUUCAUAAGUAACAUCUUUUAAAAUAUUUGUAUCUUAGCUAUUUCAAGAAGUCGAUCCUGACAGCUCUUUUGCUUCCACAAACAGCCCACUGGUUAUGAAUGCAGGAUGGCAGACAGGGAAGGUGAUGUGGCUCCCUGGCAGCAGCGAUGGAAUUUUGCAAGCCACUGAGGUCAUCAAUACAUUCUUUGAAGGCUAUUCACCAACUGGCUGGAGGCCCCCAGAAAAGAAAUUUCCCAGAGGCCACAUUAAUUUUACAUCCAAUUGCCACUUACGUCUUCCCCUGUGUUCCUUCCCUACCCAAACUCCUGCUGUUCGCCAUCUGAGGUAAGCACUCUCCUAAAAUUUGUUUUUAUCAUUCUGAUGCUUUCGCAAAAUACUA